rnacentral:rRNA from 1 species
CAGCCGCCACGGUAAUACGAAGGGUGCAAGCGUUAAUCGGAAUUAUUGGGCGUAAAGGGUGCGUAGGCGGUUUGGCAAGUUUCGUGUGAAAACUUCGGGCUCAACCCGAAGCCUGCACGGAAAACUGCCGGGCUUGAGUAUGGGAGAGGUGAGUGGAAUUUCCGGUGUAGCGGUGAAAUGCGUAGAUAUCGGGAGGAACACCUGUGGCGAAAGCGGCUCACUGGACCAUAACUGACGCUGAGGCACGAAAGCUAGGGGAGCAAACAGGAUUAGAUACCCGCGUAGUCCCUGUCUCUUAUAA